rnacentral:rRNA from 1 species
UACGUAGGUGGCAAGCGUUGUCCGGAAUUAUUGGGCGUAAAGCGCGCGCAGGCGGUCCUUUAAGUCUGAUGUGAAAGCCCACGGCUCAACCGUGGCGGGUCAUUGGAAACUGGGGGGCUUGAGUGCAGAAGAGGAAAGCGGAAUUCCACGUGUAGCGGUGAAAUGCGUAGAGAUCCGGAGGAACACCGAAGGCGAAGGCAGUGUCCUGGGGAGUACCUGACGCUCAGGUGCGAAAGCCAGGGGAGCGAACGGG